AUUGAACGCUGGCGGCAUGCUUUACUCAUGCAAGUCGAACGGUAACAGGGUGCUUGUACCGCUGACGAGUGGCGAACGGGUGAGUAAUGCGUCGGAACGUGCCGAGUAGUGGGGGAUAACGCAGCGAAAGUUGUGCUAAUACCGCAUACGUACUGAGGUAGAAAGUGAGGGACCUUCGGGCCUCACGCUAUUCGAGCGGCCGACGUCUGAUUAGCUAGUAGGUGAGGUAAAGGCUCACCUAGGCGACGAUCAGUAGCGGGUCUGAGAGGAUGAUCCGCCACACUGGGACUGAGACACGGCCCAGACUCCUACGGGAGGCAGCAGUGGGGAAUUUUGGACAAUGGGCGAAAGCCUGAUCCAGCCAUGCCGCGUGCCUGAAGAAGGCCUUCGGGUUGUAAAGGACUUUUGUCAGGGAGGAAAUCCCUAGUGCUAAUAACACUGGGGGAUGACAGUACCUGAAGAAUAAGCACCGGCUAACUACGUGCCAGCCGCCGCCGUAA
rnacentral:rRNA from 1 species